ACAGCAGACCCUCUUGUACAGGCGAGGUCAUUGUUGGUCAAAUUCUAUUGUGCAUGUCUUUGAAGCCAUCUUUACAUUGGAGCUUUUUCUUAUGUAGCAACAGGAUGCUAAGGUGAGUUCAGAAAACUGUGGAGCAGAAGAGCAAAUACUUGUUUGAUCUUGGUUUUCCAUGCAAAUACAGACAGUGAGAAGUGAGGCCUCGUGAUCUUUCUGACUUUUCAGGUUUUAAGCAGAAAGUCUCAAAAUAGUUACCACAGGGAUAACUGAUUUGAGGUGGUUACUUGUUUUAGGCUGACAGUUUUUUUAUUUAGAGAUGUUGGCUUUUCCUUUCCUAUUGAAGGAGAUUUUACCAAGUGCUGGGUAAUUCAUUCACUACCAGGGAACACAAACUGCAUUUAGGCUAUGGAUAGGCAAGUUACUUUUAC
rnacentral:ncRNA from 1 species